rnacentral:rRNA from 1 species
UAAGGAAUAUUGGACAAUGGAGGCAACUCUGAUCCAGCCAUGCCGCGUGAAGGAAUAAGGCCCUAUGGGUUGUAAACUUCUUUUAGACGGGACAAAACCCCUUUACGUGUAAAGGGUUGAUGGUACUGUCAGAAUAAGCAUCGGCUAACUUCGUGACAGCAGCCGCGGUAAUACGAAGGAUGCAAGCGUUAUCCGGAAUUAUUGGGUUUAAAGGGUGCGUAGGCGGACUAAUAAGUCAGUGGUGAAAGCCUGGAGCUUAACUGCAGAAUUGCCAUUGAUACUGUUAGUCUUGAGUACAGUUGAGGUAGGCGGAAUGUGUCAUGUAGCGGUGAAAUGCUUAGAGAUGACACAGAACACCGAUUGCGAAGGCAGCUUGCUAAGCUGUAACUGACGCUGA